rnacentral:lncRNA from 1 species
GCAAAUAGUAGGUUCUUGCUAUUACAAAAAUCAAUUAACUUGUAAUUUUUUAUUGAAGACGGAUUUGCGUUAUGCAAACGCUGUCCAUUUUUACUUUACUACUGGCUGUUUGCUAAUGCCCUUCUGUAUGUCAAAUUUUGUGGUAGGUGCAUACUAAUAAUAAAAUUGAUCAUGUGCUUUCCAUAAACGGAAUUGUAACUACAGUUAAUCAUAUUUUUUUUUUGUUCAAUGAUGCCCAUUAUUCAUUCAAGUACUCUCCUGAUCUUAUUUCUUUAAAUGGGAGCAGAAAGACAUGCCAGCCGCAAACUAAAUCAUACAAGGUGCUGGGCAGGCCAAAAGCUGUUAGGAAUCUGAGGAAGCGUCGAAGAGGCAGUCUAGUAGGAGUCAUUCCUGGAUCUCAACUUGCUUUUAUGGAUAAACCCUUUCUGCUAUAUCUUCCCGUGGCCCUCCCUUAUCCUCGCUGAGUGUAAAUUAAAUUAUUAUUUUUGAAAGCACACUAUCUUAUGUGUACAUUUGUUAUAUAUGAUGUAAUUAGCUGAUUGUCGGUCUGUGGAAACUACAGCCUACCCCGUCUCAGAAGAAGGAAAAACUGCAAUAUAUCUUUUUGUUGAGUGUCAAUAAACUAGGAGUACAACAUAUUAUGAGAGCUCUUUCCCCUGCCUCCCUACAUGACACCCACGGUUACAACAUACCAACAAAAAAUGUUUUCUGGCUAGCAACAAAGUUAUGUGAAAUUUGUCCAAAUGAUAGAUUUUGCAACAUGCCUGAAUCGGCAGCAGAACAUGAGUGCACGACCCAUGGGUCCUGAGGGCUACCAAAAUGCCGAGAAACACCACACCCAUAUGGCUACAGCCCCAGAAACAAGUGAAAACCUCAGAAUUUGAUAACAUUGCCCGAAUCAGCACCAGACCAAGGCCCUCAUGUAAUGACGAUUGCAAAAGGUGUCUGAGAUUCCUAAAAACCAUAGGCUAUUACAACCACGAUUACGAUCAAAUUCUCAAGACUCAGCAACCUACCGAACCGGCACAAAAGAUCGUGACCAACAGGUGAUGGCAACUAAAACUACAUCCAUAUUUACAAGCAAACUACCUCUCCGACAUCUCACUGUAUCAUCUCCAUCUGUAACACGGCCUCUUCGCUUCCUGAUGCCGACUGUUGUUAUGUUUAAACCUAACUACUAUAGAAAACUGAGUUGCAAGGAGAAGGGCCUUCAGCUGUUGUCAGUGUAGUCUUGCAGCCUCUGCCCGAUAAUAUAGCGCUCAUCCCUGAUAGAAUCGUGGAGUUUCACCAGGACACCCCAGAAUACCUUGGCAAGGUAGCAGAGCGCAUAUAAGGCGAGGCUGCCCAGCCAUGCGAAAUGGUACACCGUCGAGUUCACCGCAGCAGAGUAGCCAAACCUUGGGAAAAGGCCCUUCGCAAGCACAUAAGGAACACACAGAACAAUCACUAGCUUCAUGGUGAUAGGCAUCAAUAUAUCUUGCAAGACCCACUUUGCCCUCAACCCUGCAAAGCCAUCAUCCUUUGCCCGAGUAAGCUUCCAGUCCCAUCUUCCAUCAAUGAAAUGAGCCAG